UACGUAGGGUGCAAGCGUUAUCCGGAAUUAUUGGGCGUAAAGAGCUCGUAGGCGGUUUGUCGCGUCUGCUGUGAAAACUGGAGGCUCAACCUCCAGCCUGCAGUGGGUACGGGCAGACUAGAGUGCGGUAGGGGAGACUGGAAUUCCUGGUGUAGCGGUGAAAUGCGCAGAUAUCAGGAGGAACACCGGUGGCGAAGGCGGGUCUCUGGGCCGUAACUGACGCUGAGGAGCGAAAGCGUGGGGAGCGAUCCGG
rnacentral:rRNA from 1 species